AAUGAACACUGGCGGCAGGCCUAACACAUGCAAGUCGAACGGAUCCUUCGGGAUUAGUGGCGGACGGGUGAGUAACGCGUGGGAACAUACCCAAAGGUACGGAAUAGCCUCGGGAAACUGGGAGUAAUACCGUAUGUGCUCGAAAGAGGAAAGAUUUAUCGCCUUUGGAUUGGCCCGCGUUGGAUUAGGUAGUUGGUGGGGUAAUGGCCUACCAAGCCGACGAUCCAUAGCUGGUUUGAGAGGAUGAUCAGCCACACUGGGACUGAGACACGGCCCAGACUCCUACGGGAGGCAGCAGUGGGGAAUCUUAGACAAUGGGGGAAACCCUGAUCUAGCCAUGCCGCGUGAUCGAUGAAGGCCUUAGGGUUGUAAAGAUCUUUCAGGUGGGAAGAUAAUGACUGUACCACCAGAAGAAGCUCCGGCUAACUCCGUGCCAGCAGCCGCGGUAA
rnacentral:rRNA from 1 species